GAGGGAUUCAGAGAAAAGGACUGCAUGAUAUAAGCCUUAAUGGAAUGACGGACCAGUACUCUACUCAGAGUCCUCCUGCUCACACCCAGUGGGAAAAGAUGCCUUUUAGGCAUGCAGCUGCCACCCUAAAACCAGACUGCACCAGAGCAAUGUCAUGACAUAAACGCAUAACCCUCGCUCCCAGAAGAUCUUUUGAAUCAAACCAACGCUGG
rnacentral:lncRNA from 1 species